UACGUAGGGGGGCGAGCGUUGUCCGGAAUUAUUGGGGCGUAAAGAGCUCGUAGGCGGUUUGUUGCGUCGGCUGUGAAAUCCCGAGGCUCAACCUCGGGUCUGCAGUCGAUACGAGCAAACUAGAGUGUUGCAGGGGAGGCUGGAAUUCCUGGUGUAGCGGUGAAAUGCGCAGAUAUCAGAGGAACACCAAUUGCGAAGGCAGCUCGCUGGGACGUUACUGACGCUGAGACGCGAAAAGCGUGGGGAGCAAACAGG
rnacentral:rRNA from 1 species